GCCUGGAUAGCUCAGCUGGCCAGAGCGUGGUGCUGAUAGCGCCAAGGUUGCAGGUUCAAACCCCAUAUGGGACA